UGUGCCAGCCCCAAACCGCAUUGCCCCCAAUACCAGUCAGGGUGCUAUGUCAGGAUCACUGUGUCAUCUCACUCACUGUGCAAACAGAUAUCCCAGAGCACUUCCCACUAAUUUAAUUUGCAGUAGAAUGAUUUGAGACUGCCCAAUUCCACCCUAUGCCAGCUCUCCCAUGCAGUGCAGACUAUAAAUCUAUUUUCUCUCUGAUCUC